rnacentral:rRNA from 1 species
UACGUAGGGUGCAAGCGUUAAUCGGAAUUACUGGGCGUAAAGCGUGCGCAGGCGGCUUUGCAAGACAGAUGUGAAAUCCCCGGGCUCAACCUGGGAACUGCAUUUGUGACUGCAUGGCUAGAGUGCGGCAGAGGGGGAUGGAAUUCCGCGUGUAGCAGUGAAAUGCGUAGAUAUGCGGAGGAACACCGAUGGCGAAGGCAAUCCCCUGGGCCUGCACUGACGCUCAUGCACGAAAGCGUGGGUAGCGAACAGG